ACAUGCAAGUCGAACGGUAACAUAAAGUGCUUGCACUUUGAUGACGAGUGGCGCACGGGUGCGUAACGCGUAUACAAUCUACCUUUUACAGGGGGAUAGCCUUUAGAAAUGAAGAAUAAUACCCCAUAGUAUAUAAAUAUCGCAUGAUAAUUAUAUUAAAGAUUUAUUGGUAAAAGAUGAGUAUGCGUUCUAUUAGCUAGAUGGUAAGGUAACGGCUUACCAUGGCAACGAUAGAUAGGGGCCCUGAGAGGGGGAUCCCCCACACUGGUACUGAGACACGGACCAGACUCCUACGGGAGGCAGCAGUGAGGAAUAUUGGACAAUGGGCGGGAGCCUGAUCCAGCCAUGCCGCGUGCAGGAAGACUGCCCUAUGGGUUGUAAACUGCUUUUAUACAGGAAGAAACCUUUUCACGUGUGAAAAGCUGACGGUACUGUAAGAAUAAGGAUCGGCUAACUCCGUGCCAGCAGCCGCGGUAAUACGGAGGAUCCAAGCGUUAUCCGGAAUCAUUGGGUUUAAAGGGUCCGUAGGUGGACAAUUAAGUCAGAGGUGAAAGUUUGCCGCUUAACGGUAAAAUUGCCUUUGAUACUGGUUGUCUUGAAUCAUUAUGAAGUGGUUAGAAUAUGUAGUGUAGCGGUGAAAUGCAUAGAUAUUACAUAGAAUACCAAUUGCGAAGGCAGAUCACUAAUAAUGUAUUGACACUGAUGGACGAAAGCGUGGGGAGCGAACGGGAUUAGAUACCCCGGUAGUCCACGCCGUAAACGAUGGUCACUAGCUGUUCGAACUUCGGUUUGAGUGGCUAAGCGAAAGUGAUAAGUGACCCACCUGGGGAGUACGUUCGCAAGAAUGAAAC
rnacentral:rRNA from 1 species